rnacentral:tRNA from 1 species
AGAAUUGUAAUUUAAAAAAAAUAUUAUUUUGUCAAGAUAAAAAUCUAUAAUUAGUUAUUCUG